rnacentral:rRNA from 1 species
GCCUAACACAUGCAAGUCGAGCGGUAGAGAGAAGCUUGCUUCUCUUGAGAGCGGCGGACGGGUGAGUAAUACCUAGGAAUCUGCCUGAUAGUGGGGGAUAACGUUCGGAAACGGACGCUAAUACCGCAUACGUCCUACGGGAGAAAGCAGGGGACCUUCGGGCCUUGCGCUAUCAGAUGAGCCUAGGUCGGAUUAGCUAGUUGGUGAGGUAAUGGCUCACCAAGGCUACGAUCCGUAACUGGUCUGAGAGGAUGAUCAGUCACACUGGAACUGAGACACGGUCCAGACUCCUACGGGAGGCAGCAGUGGGGAAUAUUGGACAAUGGGCGAAAGCCUGAUCCAGCCAUGCCGCGUGUGUGAAGAAGGUCUUCGGAUUGUAAAGCACUUUAAGUUGGGAGGAAGGGCAGUUACCUAAUACGUGAUUGUCUCGACGUUACCGACAGAAUAAGCACCGGCUAACUCUGUGCCAGCAGCCGCGGUAAUACAGAGGGUGCAAGCGUUAAUCGGAAUUACUGGGCGUAAAGCGCGCGUAGGUGGUUUGUUAAGUUGAAUGUGAAAUCCCCGGGCUCAACCUGGGAACUGCAUCCAAAACUGGCAAGCUAGAGUAUGGUAGAGGGUAGUGGAAUUUCCUGUGUAGCGGUGAAAUGCGUAGAUAUAGGAAGGAACACCAGUGGCGAAGGCGACUACCUGGACUGAUACUGACACUGAGGUGCGAAAGCGUGG